GGGGAAUUUUGCGCAAUGGGCGAAAGCCUGACGCAGCAACGCCGCGUGCGGGAUGAAGGCCUUCGGGUUGUAAACCGCUUUCAGCAGGGAUGAAACUGACAGUACCUGCAGAAGAAGCCCCGGCUAACUACGUGCCAGCAGCCGCGGUAAUACGUAGGGGGCAAGCGUUAUCCGGAUUCAUUGGGCGUAAAGAGCGCGUAGGCGGCUUGUUAAGCGAGAUGUGAAAACCGGGGGCUUAACCCGCGGCCUGCAUCUCGAACUGGCAGGCUUGAGUCUGGUAGAGGAGUGUGGAAUUCCCAGUGUAGCGGUGAAAUGCGCAGAUAUUGGGAGGAACACCAGUGGCGAAGGCGGCACUCUGGGCCACGACUGACGCUGAGGCGCGAAAGCUAGGGGAGCAAACA
rnacentral:rRNA from 1 species